ACUGCCGGGUGGAGGGGCAAGGCGAGUGUGUGUCCUUAUCCUAGCAAUUGGGGCGCGGGCCUGUGAGCCAGUUGGAGUUGCGGCGGCGGGAACGAUUGGGCUGAGCAGAGGACGACAUGUUGCUUUUCGUGGAGCAUUUAUGGGGUUAAGUGGCAUGGGAUUUCUGUUUCUGAUAGUAAAUAGGUAAGCGGUAAAUGAUUCCGAAGAAAACUCCGAGAUGCAAGAAAGAACGAUGAACAAAGAAAAUGGUCAACAUUCAUCAUGUAAAUUUAAGUAAAUGUUGACAGCAGGUAGCAUCUAAAGGAACUGGUUUAAAUCCUAAUGCCAAAGUAUGGCAAGAAAUUGCUCCUGGAAAUACUGAUGCCACCCCAGUAACUCAUGGAACUGAAAGCUCUUGGCAUGAAAUAGCAGCUACAUCAGGUGCUCAUCCUGAGGGUAAUGCAGAGCUCUCAGAAGAUAUAUGUAAAGAAUAUGAAGUAAUGUAUUCUUCAUCUUGUGAAACCACAAGAAAUACUACAGGCAUUGAAGAAUCAACUGAUGGGAUGAUUUUAGGACCAGAAGAUCUGAGUUACCAAAUAUAUGAUGUU
rnacentral:lncRNA from 1 species